rnacentral:sRNA from 1 species
GUCGUGCCGGUUCGAUCGGGAUACUCAUCAAAUUAAAUCGAAAACCGAGCUGACUUCUCUUGCCAAUGGCGGGCCACAAUGCGUGUAAUACUUCGACCGUUGAGGAAGAAAAGGUUGCAGGUAAGCCGAAAGGCCGGUGGAUUACAACGGCAGAGAGCACUCUAAUCUUGUAACACAGGAGUUUUCAUCACAUCACUGGGCGGCCCCUU